rnacentral:lncRNA from 1 species
UCUGGGCACCAUACUACUCGCUGUCUGCGUGUAGGAGCGCACAUCAAGUGCUCGGCUUCACACACGAAUAUCCCACACGCAACUAUGCGCACGCCUAUGUGAUACAACACAUGCAAGAUGCCGGCGUGCGCACUGGCCUAGCUUGCAAGCGAGUCAAUGUGUUAGGCCUAGCCUGCCGCGGGCGGCAGGCUUGGACCGUGGGCGAUAGGCUUGGACCACGAGAGGCCC